rnacentral:rRNA from 1 species
AUGCGUCUGGACUUCGAUCACCGGCUCUACGCAGGCCUGCGUGUCUCUAUAAUUGCUUCUCGUUAUCUCGCGCUAAAAACAAAGCCAAGACCUAAAGGCAAACUCACUUUCCUCGUCCUUGUGCCGUCGUGCUGUCCCUGGCACUUUCCGGAGUCUUCCACGACCCGUGGAGUGCUGGAGUUCACUUGUGCCACCUUUCUUCUGGCACGUUUUGGCGAGCUCCGGAGGCCCUCUGCAUGGUGCCCGGGACGUCCACGUCGUGCCCCGGCUCUCGCUGCACGCGCAACUUCUACACGUUCGCGGCUGAGGAGUGCCCGCCGACGUGGCCACCGCCGCAGCCACCUCCUCACGGCCGGGCUAGCUCGUCCUCCCCGCGUCCUACAUAAACGCACACUCGUCAUCGGCAACAGCACACAGAAUCAACAGCCCACAACGAACCAAGUGUGA